UUAUUUAAAUAGAUGACAUGUCAAAUUCUAAUUAGUUAAUU
rnacentral:sRNA from 1 species